CUGUGGAGGUGACUCAAUCAAGUGCUUCCUUCAAGUAUUUACUCUUUCUAAGAUUGCUUGGCCUUGAGGAUUAUACGCUAUCCCAAAGAAGGGACUGAUCCUCCAUGAGAAUAAAAAGGAGAUGAACAGCUGAUAUGAGUAAGCAGCCCCAUUGUCAGUCUUCAGUGCCCAAGGCAUUCCCAUUAUGAAUAUUACCAAUUUCAUGGCCUUAAUAGCAUGAGAAGUCUUUUCACCUGCCAAGGCCACAGUGUAUAUGAAGGCAGAGGAAUUAAUCCUGAAUGCUCAUGAGUAGAACCUAAAGAGCAACCACAUGAACUUGGAAGGGGACAUUGUCUGCUGAUUCGUGAGUGCUGAUUUCACCCUCAGACCUGAUCUACAUCUACUUGUUUGACUAGAAGACUAUGUGAACACACUGAAUUCUGCUUUGAACAAGUGACAAUGGAACUUCAAAAG